AACGAACGCUGGCGGCAUGCCUAACACAUGCAAGUCGAACGAGACCUUCGGGUCUAGUGGCGCACGGGUGCGUAACGCGUGGGAACCUGCCCUUAGGUUCGGAAUAACUCCCCGAAAGGGGUGCUAAUACCGGAUAAUGUCUUCGGACCAAAGAUUUAUCGCCUUUGGAUGGGCCCGCGUUGGAUUAGCUAGUGGGUAGGGUAAAAGCCUACCAAGGCGACGAUCCAUAGCUGGUCUGAGAGGAUGAUCAGCCACACUGGGACUGAGACACGGCCCAGACUCCUACGGGAGGGAGCAGUGGGGAAUAUUGGACAAUGGGCGAAAGCCUGAUCCAGCAAUGCCGCGUGAGUGAUGAAGGCCUUAGGGUUGUAAAGCUCUUUUACCCGGGAUGAUAAUGACAGUACCGGGAGAAUAAGCACCGGCUAACUCCGUG
rnacentral:rRNA from 1 species